rnacentral:rRNA from 1 species
AUUGAACGCUGGCGGCAGGCCUAACACAUGCAAGUCGAGCGGAGCGGCGGACGGGUGAGGAAUGUAUGGGGAUCUGCCCGUUAGAGGGGGAUCACGUCCGGAAACGGGCUCUAAUACCGCAUACUAUCAGAUGUGCCUAGGUCGUAUUAGCUAGUUGGUGGGGUAAAGGCCUACCAAGGCGACGAUCCGUAACUGGUCUGAGAGGAUGAUCAGCCACACUGGAACUGAGACACGGUCCAGACUCCUACGGGAGGCAGCAGUGGGGAAUAUUGCACAAUGGGCGCAAGCCUGAUGGAGCAAUGCCGCGUGAAUGAAGAAGGCUCUAGGGUUGUAAAGUACUUUCAGUCGGGAGGCGGUACCGAAAGAGGAAGCACCGGCUAACUCCGUGCCAGCAGCCGCGGUAAUAC